GGGGGGGGGGGGGGGGGGGGGGGGGGGGGGGGGGGCGAGGGGAGGGGGGCGGCGUGGGUGGGGUGCGGGGGUGGCGGGGGGGUGAGAAGCAGGGGAGGAAGCUGGGCGGGACGUUGGGAGACCUGCGGGAGACUGGGGCGAGUACCGGCUAGGAGCUUGUGCUGGAUGGGGGGGGGUGGACAGUUUCGGCGGUUGGGGAUGGACUCGCGGCUUAGCAGAUUGUUGGUGGGGUAGUGGCUUACCAAGGCUUUGACGGGUAGCCGGCCUGAGAGGGUGACCGGCCACAUUGGGACUGAGAUACGGCCCAGACUCCUACGGGAGGCAGCAGUGGGGAAUAUUGCACAAUGGGCGGAAGCCUGAUGCAGCAACGCCGCGUGCGGGAUGACGGCCUUCGGGUUGUAAACCGCUUUCGCCUGUGACGAAGCGUGAGUGACGGUAAUGGGUAAAGAAGCACCGGCUAACUACGUG
rnacentral:rRNA from 1 species